rnacentral:rRNA from 1 species
GUGGGGAAUCUUCCGCAAUGGACGAAAGUCUGACGGAGCAACGCCGCGUGAGUGAAGAAGGUUUUCGGAUCGUAAAGCUCUUUCGUUAGGGACGAACGUGCUCUUUGUGAAUAAUGAGGAGUAAUGACGGUACCUAAAUAAGAAGCCACGGCUAACUACGUGCCAGCAGCCGCGGUAAUACGUAGGUGGCAAGCGUUGUCCGGAAUUAUUGGGCGUAAAGCGCGCGCAGGCGGGAUAUCAAGUCUGUCUUAAAAGUGCGAGGCUCAACCUCGUGAGGGGACAGAAACUGGUAUUCUUGAGUGUCGGAGAGUAAAGUGGAAUUCCAAGUGUAGCGGUGAAAUGCGUAGAGAUUUGGAAGAACACCAGUGGCGAAGGCGACUUUCUGGACGAUGUCUGACGCUGAGGCGCGAAAGCUAGGGGAGCGAACGGGAUUAGAAACCCUUGUAGUCC